rnacentral:lncRNA from 1 species
GGCCUUGUGUGGUUUUAGAGAGAGAGAUGUUUUCUUCCUUUUGUGAAAAACAACACACAAAACCCUAAUGAAUUUUUCACUAUAAAGUUCCUUUUAUAAUACAAAGAAACAAGUCAACAACUUGACUUCCUCUCUCUCUCCCUUUCCCUUUAUUUGGCCUGCCCCCUUUAGUGUUGUUUGGGCUUUGGGCUUUUAUUAUUUCAAGUCAUCCUAUACUUAAAUAAAAGCCCAAUGGGUUUGGGCUUAAUGGGCCCAUAUUAACCCGAACUUUUCUUUAAGCCCAAAACGAUCUUUU